rnacentral:rRNA from 1 species
UUGUUCUUUAAAUAAGGACCAGAAUCAACGGCAUCACGAGGAUCCUACUGUCUCCCCCCUCUAAUCAGUGAAAUUGAUCUCCCCGUGAAGAAGCGGGGAUAUAAAUAUAAGACGAGAAGACCCCAUGGAGCUUUAAACCCAACAACACCUAUCUAUUUUAUUCCCCCAUAUUUAUACGGUUAUGUUUGUUUGGUUUUAGGUUGGGG